rnacentral:rRNA from 1 species
UACGUAGGGUGCGAGCGUUAAUCGGAAUUACUGGGCGUAAAGCGUGCGCAGGCGGUUUUGUAAGCCAGAUGUGAAAUCCCCGGGCUUAACCUGGGUAUGGCAUUUGGGACUGCAAGGCUCGAGUGCGGCAGAGGAGACUGGAAUUCCUGGUGUAGCAGUGAAAUGCGUAGAUAUCAGGAGGAACACCGAUGGCGAAGGCAGGUCUCUGGGCUGACACUGACGCUCAUGCACGAAAGCGUGGGGAGCAAACAGG